UUAUCUCGCUACGGAGCGCACAUAAAAGAAGUGUACUCUUUAAUAUUGUCAGCAGCUUCUUCCACCGACAUGGUAGCAGCUUGAACCACCUGGAUGAUGUCACUUAGAGCUUAAAAGGCGUGGAUGUGCAGGGACAUAACUCUUUGAUCCCCAUUUCCUGCUGCAGGCAUGAGAUCUCACAGAAGCUCCCAUGACCAACCUUGAUUUCAGAAGAUAAACAAACACGGACAAUUGGCGCUAACAGCUGGCUGUCCUGGCAUGUGUUCUGUCAUGCAGUGACAAAAACUAAAUGAAUAAAGAUAAAUAAUGCCA